UAGCUAGUAGCAGCAAUAUAGCCCACCUCAUCCAAAAACCACUAAAAUGGUGCCACAAUUUCUGUUCUCAGCUUCUUUUAUUCUAUUCUUCCUUCUUCAUUGCCCUCCAACCCUAGCUCAGUCACCAGCUGCAGCCCCAGCACCACCCGGUCCAACCAAUGUCACCAAAGUCCUAGAAAAAGGUGGUCAGUUCAGCGUUUUUAUCAGGCUUUUGAAAGCCACUCAAGAGGAUGUCACAUUGAAUGGCCAGCUCAACAACACAAACAAUGCUAUAACCAUCUUUGCACCUAGCGAUAACGCAUUUUCAAGUCUCAAAUCAGGCACCCUCAACUCCCUAAGCGAUCAAGAAAAGGCUGAGCUAGUACAGUUUCACAUUAUACCACAAUUUCUAUCAAGUUCCCAGUUCCAGACUGUGAGCAACCCUCUGACCACACAAGCAGGAUCAGGUGGCAGGUUAGAGCUUAAUGUAACCACCACAGGAAACUCUGUGAAUAUAACCACAGGGCUUACAAAUACAAGCGUAUCCGGCACUAUCUACACUGAUAACCAGUUAGCUGUUUAUCAGGUUGACAAGGUGCUUCUUCCUCUUGAUAUCUUUACACCUAAACCUCCUACUCCAGCACCAGCACCUGAAAAGCCAAAGAAGAGAUCCAAAGCUGCAGCGAGUCCAGAAUCUCCUGCGGAUACUUCUGGGGCAGUAAGCUUUACUGUUCUGAACAAUGUUGUGUUCUUUGGAGUUUGCAUGGUUGCAGCAAUAUAUUCUUUGUGACACAGAAGGUUUUGAUGAGGUUAUUGCAUGGAUUGCUCU
rnacentral:lncRNA from 1 species